AUUGAACGCUGGCGGCAGGCCUAACACAUGCAAGUCGAGCGAGCGGCGGACGGGUGAGUAAUGUCCGGGAAACUGCCUGAUGGAGGGGGAUAACUACUGGAAACGGUAGCUAAUACCGCAUACCAUCAGAUGUGCCCAGAUGGGAUUAGCUAGUAGGUGGGGUAACGGCUCACCUAGGCGACGAUCCCUAGCUUGUCUGAGAGGAUGACCAGCCACACGGGGACUGGGACACGGUCCGAACUCCAACGGGAGGAAGCAGUAGGAAAUAUUGCACAAUGGGCGCAAGCCUAAUACAGCCAAGCCGCGUGUGGAAAGAAGGCCUUCGGGUUGUAAAGCACUUUCAGCGGGAAGGCGUUAACCGCAGAAGAAGCACCGGCUAACUCCGUGCCAGCAGCCGCAGUAGUAC
rnacentral:rRNA from 1 species